UGGGGUGUCGCCAAGUGGUAAGGCAAUGGACUCUGAAUCCAUCACUCGGGGGUUCGAAUCCCUCCACCCCAGCCA
rnacentral:tRNA from 1 species